AGAGUUUGAUCCUGGCUCAGAACGAACGCUGGCGGCAGGCUUAACACAUGCNAGUCGAGCGCCCCGCAAGGGGAGCGGCAGACGGGUGAGUAACGCGUGGGAAUCUACCCUUGNACUACGGAAUAACGCAGGGAAACUUGUGCUAAUACCGUAUGUGUCCUUCGGGAGAAAGAUUUAUCGGUCAAGGAUGAGCCCGCGUUGGAUUAGCUAGUUGGUGGGGUAAAGGCCUACCAAGGCGACGAUCCAUAGCUGGUCUGAGAGGAUGAUCAGCCACAUUGGGACUGAGACACGGCCCAAACUCCUACGGGAGGCAGCAGUGGGGAAUAUUGGACAAUGGGCGCAAGCCUGAUCCAGCCAUGCCGCGUGAGUGAUGAAGGCCCUAGGGUUGUAAAGCUCUUUCACCGGAGAAGAUAAUGACGGUAUCCGGAGAAGAAGCCCCGGCUAACUUCGUGCCAGCAGCCGCGGUAAUACGAAGGGGGCUAGCGUUGUUCGGAAUUACUGGGCGUAAAGCGCACGUANGCGGAUCGAUCAGUCAGGGGUGAAAUCCCAGGGGCUCAACCCUGGAACUGCCUUUGAUACUGUCGAUCUGGAGUAUGGAAGAGGUGAGUGGAAUUCCGAGUGUAGAGGUGAAAUUCGUAGAUAUUCGGAGGAACACCAGUGGCGAAGGCGGCUCACUGGUCCAUUACUGACGCUGAGGUGCGAAAGCGUGGGGAG
rnacentral:rRNA from 1 species